rnacentral:rRNA from 1 species
GUAGGUGGCAAGCGUUGUCCGGAAUUAUUGGGCGUAAAGCGCGCGCAGGCGGUCCUUUAAGUCUGAUGUGAAAGCCCACGGGCUCAACCGUGGAGGGUCAUUGGAAACUGGGGGACUUGAGUACAGAAGAGGAAAGCGGAAUUCCAAGUGUAGCGGUGAAAUGCGUAGAGAUUUGGAGGAACACCAGUGGCGAAGGCGGCUUUCUGGUCUGUAACUGACGCUGAGGCGCGAAAGCGUGGGGAGCAAACAGGAUUAGAUACCCUGGUAGUCCACGCCGUAAACGAUGAGUGCCAAGUGUUAGGGGGUUUCCGCCCCUUAGUGCUGCAGCUAACGCAUUAAGCACUCCGCCUGGGGAGUACGGCCGCAAAGGCUGA